rnacentral:rRNA from 1 species
CCCUUAGAUGGCCUGGGCCGCACGCGCGUUACACUGAUGCAUUCAACGAGCUUAUAACCUUGGCCGAGAGGCCUGGGCAAUCUUGUUAACGUGCAUCGUGAUAGGGAUAGAUUAUUGAAAUUAUUAAUCUUGAACGAGGAAUUCCUAGUAAACGCAGAUCAUCAAUCUGCAUUGAUUACGUCCCUGCCCUUUGUACACACCGCCCGUCGCACCUACCGAUUGGAUGGUCCGGUGAAGCCUCGGGAUUGUGGUUCUUGCCGCUUUAUUGUGGCGUGACCGCGAGAACUUGUCUAAACCUUAUCAUCUAGAGGAAGGUGAAGUCGUAACA